rnacentral:rRNA from 1 species
CCUACGGGUGGCUGCAGUGGGGAAUAUUGGACAAUGGGCGAAAGCCUGAUCCAGCCAUGCCGCGUGUGUGAAGAAGGCCUUCGGGUUGUAAAGCACUUUCAGUGGGGAAGAAAGCCUUGGGGCUAAUACCCUCGAGGAAGGACAUCACCCACAGAAGAAGCACCGGCUAACUCCGUGCCAGCAGCCGCGGUAAUAUGGAGGGUGCGAGCGUUAAUCGGAAUUACUGGGCGUAAAGCGCGCGUAGGCGGUCUGAUAAGCCGGUUGUGAAAGCCCCGGGCUCAACCUGGGAACGGCAUCCGGAACUGUCAGGCUAGAGUGCAGGAGAGGAAGGUGGAAUUCCCGGUGUAGCGGUGAAAUGCGUAGAGAUCGGGAGGAAUACCAGUGGCGAAGGCGGCCUUCUGGACUGGCACUGACGCUGAGGUGCGAAAGCGUGGGUAGCAAACAGGAUUAGAUACCCCUGUAGUC